CUGGCUCAGGAUGAACGCUGGCGGCGUGCUUAACACAUGCAAGUCGAACGGAAACUACUCGCUGAAGCGAGCUUGCUCAAUUCUUGAGUAGUUUUAGUGGCGGACGGGUGAGUAACGCGUGGGUAACCUGCCAUGUACUGGGGGACAACAGUUGGAAACGACUGCUAAUACCGCAUAAG
rnacentral:rRNA from 1 species